rnacentral:rRNA from 1 species
AUUGAACGCUGGCGGCAUGCCUUACACAUGCAAGUCGAACGGCAGCACGGGGGCAACCCUGGUGGCGAGUGGCGAACGGGUGAGUAAUGCAUCGGAACGUACCCGGAAGUGGGGGAUAACGUAGCGAAAGUUACGCUAAUACCGCAUAUUCUGUGAGCAGGAAAGAGGGGGAUCGCAAGACCUCUUGCUUUCGGAGCGGCCGAUGUCGGAUUAGCUAGUUGGUGGGGUAAAAGCCUACCAAGGCGACGAUCCGUAGCUGGUCUUAGAGGAUGAUCAGCCACACUGGGACUGAGACACGGCCCAGACUCCUACGGGAGGCAGCAGUGGGGAAUUUUGGACAAUGGGGGCAACCCUGAUCCAGCCAUGCCGCGUGAGUGAAGAAGGCCUUCGGGUUGUAAAGCUCUUUCGGACAGAAAGAAAUCGCACGAUCUAAUACAUCGUGUGGAUGACGGUACUGUCAUAAGAAGCACCGGCUAACUACGUGCCAGCAGCCGCAGUAAAAC